rnacentral:rRNA from 1 species
UACGUAGGGGGCAAGCGUUGUCCGGAAUCAUUGGGCGUAAAGAGCGCGUAGGCGGCCCGGUAAGUCCGCUGUGAAAGUCAAGGGCUCAACCCUUGAAUGCCGGUGGAUACUGUCGGGCUAGAGUCCGGGAAGAGGCGAGUUGGAAUUCCUGGUGUAGCGGUGAAAUGCGUAGAUAUUGGGAGGAACACCAGUGGCGAAAGGCGGCUCGCUGGACCGGAACUGACGCUGAGGCGCGAAAGCGUGG